AGAAGACAAAAAUAAAGAAAGAAGAGAAGAAGAAAGCAAAGAGAGAGCUGCAGAGGCAGCAGGGCAUUGAUAAAGCAGAAUCCAGUGAGGACGAACCAGAUGAAAGUGUUGUGGAGGAGGAGGGAGAGGAGAAAAAAGAAAACAUCCUGCAGCGCAUCAUCAGCACGAUAAAGUUCAGCUGGG